CCUACGGGAGGCAGCAGUGAGGAAUAUUGGUCAAUGGACGAGAGUCUGAACCAGCCAAGUAGCGUGAAGGAUGACUGCCCUAUGGGUUGUAAACUUCUUUUAUAUGGGAAUAAAAUGUUCCACGUGUGGGAUUUUGUAUGUACCAUAUGAAUAAGGAUAGGCUAACUCCGUGCCAGCAGCCGCGGUAAUACGGAGGAUCCGAGCGUUAUCCGGAUUUAUUGGGUUUAACGGGAGCGUAGGUGGAUUGUUAAGUCAGUUGUGAAAGUUUGCGGUGCAACCGUAAAAUUGCAUUUGAAACUGGCAGUCUUGAGUACAGUAGAGGUGGGCGGAAUUCGUGGUGUAGCGGUGAAAUGCUUAGAUAUCACGAAGAACUCCGAUGGCGAAGGCAGUUCACUGGACUGCAACUGACACUGAGGCUCGAACGUGUGGGUAUCAAACAGGAUUAGAUACCCCUGUAGUC
rnacentral:rRNA from 1 species